UGGUCGUUUUCCGCUCAUACUGGAUGUCGUGGUCAGCCAUGGUGAUGGUCCACUUGGUGAUUUGGCCGGUUGUGUCCCGGUUACGCAUGAUCUCUGAAAGCGGAGUCGUACUCACCAUGGUGAUAGUGUGCUCCGGGAAGUAUUGCUUCAACUUCUUGGCAGCGAAGUAUAUGUCGUAGCACAUCUUCUAAUAGUGGGGGUAGUUCUGCUUGGAGGCAGAGAAGACCUCGCUCAAGUAGUAGACGGGGUGCUGAACUGGCAGCGCCCUGCCUUCCUCACAC
rnacentral:lncRNA from 1 species